rnacentral:rRNA from 1 species
AUUGAACGCUGGCGGCAGGCCUAACACAUGCAAGUCGAACGAGUGGCGGACGGGUGAGUAAUGUCUGGGAAACUGCCUGAUGGAGGGGGAUAACUACUGGAAACGGUAGCUAAUACCGCAUACCAUCAGAUGUGCCCAGAUGGGAUUAGCUUGUUGGUUGGGUAACGGCUCACCAAGGCGACGAUCCCUAGCUGGUCUGAGAGGAUGACCAGCCACACUGGAACUGAGACACGGGCCAGACUCCUACGGGAGGCAGCAGUGGGGAAUAUUGGACAAUGGGCGAAAGCCUGAUACAGCCAUGCCGCGUGUAUGAAGAAGGCCUUCGGAUUGUAAAGCACUUUCAGUGGGGAGGCGUUACCAGCAGAAUAAGCACCGGCUAACUUCGUGCCAGCCGCCGCGGUAAUUC